rnacentral:rRNA from 1 species
GACGAACGCUGGCGGUGGGCUUAACACAUGCAAGUCGAACGGCAAGGCACUGCUUUCGUGGUGUGCUCGAGUGGCGAACGGGUGAGUAAGACGUGAAUAACCUGCCCUUGACUUUGGGAUAACUUCAGGAAACUGGGGCUAAUCUAGGAUCGGAUCCCCCCUUGCAUUGUGGGGGGUGGAUCUUUUCGGCGGGCGGGGAUGGACUCGCGGCUGACGGACUUGUUGGUUGGCGAGUGGCUUACCAAGGCUUUGACGGGUCGGCGGCCUGAGAGGGUGACCGGCGACAUUGGGACUGAGGUACGGCCCAGAGUCCAACGGGAGGCAGCAGUCGGGAAUAUUGCCCAAUGGUCCGAAGCCUGAUGCAGCGACGCCGCGUUCGGGAUGACGGCCUUCGGGUUGUAAACCGCUUUCGCCUGUGACGAAGCGGGAGUGACGGUAAUGAGUAAAGAAGCACCGGCUAACUACGUG